GAUGAAGAACGCAGCGAAAUGCGAUAAGUAGUGUGAAUUGCAGAAUUCAGUGAAUCAUCGAAUCUUUGAACGCACAUUGCGCCCCUUGGUAUUCCAUGGGGCAUGCCUGUUCGAGCGUCAUUUGUACCUUCAAGCUCUGCUUGGUGUUGGGUGUUUGUCUCGCCUCUGCGUGUAGACUCGCCUUAAAACAAUUGGCAGCCGGCGUAUUGAUUUCGGAGCGCAGUACAUCUCGCGCUUUGCACUCAUAACGACAGCGUCCAAAAGUACAUUUUACACUCUUGACCUCGGAUCAGGUAGGGAUACCCGCUGAACUUAAGCAUAUCAAUAAGCGGAGGA
rnacentral:misc_RNA from 1 species